rnacentral:rRNA from 1 species
GGGUUGUGAGGUUAAGCGACUAAGCGUACACGGUGGAUGCCCUGGCAGUCAGAGGCGAUGAAGGACGUGCUAAUCUGCGAUAAGCGUCGGUAAGGUGAUAUGAACCGUUAUAACCGGCGAUUUCCGAAUGGGGAAACCCAGUGUGUUUCGACACACUAUCAUUAACUGAAUCCAUAGGUUAAUGAGGCGAACCGGGGGAACUGAAACAUCUAAGUACCCCGAGGAAAAGAAAUCAACCGAGAUUCCCCCAGUAGCGGCGAGCGAACGGGGAGGAGCCCAGAGCCUGAAUCAGUGUGUGUGUUAGUGGAAGCGUCUGGAAAGGCGCGCGAUACAGGGUGACAGCCCCGUACACAAAAAUGCACAUACUGUGAGCUCGAUGAGUAGGGCGGGACACGUGGUAUCCUGUCUGAAUAUGGGGGACCAUCCUCCAAGGCUAAAUACUCCUGACUGACCGAUAGUGAACCAGUACCGUGAGGGAAAGGCGAAAAGAACCCCGGCGAGGGGAGUGAAAAAGAACCUGAAACCGUGUACGUACAAGCAGUGGGAGCCUCUUUUAUGGGGUGACUGCGUACCUUUUGUAUAAUGGGUCAGCGACUUAUAUUCUGUAGCAAGGUUAACCGAAUAGGGGAGCCGAAGGGAAACCGAGUCUUAACUGGGCGUUAAGUUGCAGGGUAUAGACCCGAAACCCGGUGAUCUAGCCAUGGGCAGGUUGAAGGUUGGGUAACACUAACUGGAGGACCGAACCGACUAAUGUUGAAAAAUUAGCGGAUGACUUGUGGCUGGGGGUGAAAGGCCAAUCAAACCGGGAGAUAGCUGGUUCUCCCCGAAAGCUAUUUAGGUAGCGCCUCGUGAAUUCAUCUCCGGGGGUAGAGCACUGUUUCGGCAAGGGGGUCAUCCCGACUUACCAACCCGAUGCAAACUGCGAAUACCGGAGAAUGUUAUCACGGGAGACACACGGCGGGUGCUAACGUCCGUCGUGAAGAGGGAAACAACCCAGACCGCCAGCUAAGGUCCCAAAGUCAUGGUUAAGUGGGAAACGAUGUGGGAAGGCCCAGACAGCCAGGAUGUUGGCUUAGAAGCAGCCAUCAUUUAAAGAAAGCGUAAUAGCUCACUGGUCGAGUCGGCCUGCGCGGAAGAUGUAACGGGGCUAAACCAUGCACCGAAGCUGCGGCAGCGACGCUUAUGCGUUGUUGGGUAGGGGAGCGUUCUGUAAGCCUGUGAAGGUGUACUGUGAGGUAUGCUGGAGGUAUCAGAAGUGCGAAUGCUGACAUAAGUAACGAUAAAGCGGGUGAAAAGCCCGCUCGCCGGAAGACCAAGGGUUCCUGUCCAACGUUAAUCGGGGCAGGGUGAGUCGACCCUAAGGCGAGGCCGAAAGGCGUAGUCGAUGGGAAACAGGUUAAUAUUCCUGUACUUGGUGUUACUGCGAAGGGGGACGGAGAAGGCUAUGUUGGCCGGGCGACGGUUGUCCCGGUUUAAGCGUGUAGGCUGGUUUUCCAGGCAAAUCCGGAAAAUCAAGGCUGAGGCGUGAUGACGAGGCACUACGGUGCUGAAGCAACAAAUGCCCUGCUUCCAGGAAAAGCCUCUAAGCAUCAGGUAACAUCAAAUCGUACCCCAAACCGACACAGGUGGUCAGGUAGAGAAUACCAAGGCGCUUGAGAGAACUCGGGUGAAGGAACUAGGCAAAAUGGUGCCGUAACUUCGGGAGAAGGCACGCUGAUAUGUAGGUGAAGCGACUUGCUCGUGGAGCUGAAAUCAGUCGAAGAUACCAGCUGGCUGCAACUGUUUAUUAAAAACACAGCACUGUGCAAACACGAAAGUGGACGUAUACGGUGUGACGCCUGCCCGGUGCCGGAAGGUUAAUUGAUGGGGUUAGCGGUAACGCGAAGCUCUUGAUCGAAGCCCCGGUAAACGGCGGCCGUAACUAUAACGGUCCUAAGGUAGCGAAAUUCCUUGUCGGGUAAGUUCCGACCUGCACGAAUGGCGUAAUGAUGGCCAGGCUGUCUCCACCCGAGACUCAGUGAAAUUGAACUCGCUGUGAAGAUGCAGUGUACCCGCGGCAAGACGGAAAGACCCCGUGAACCUUUACUAUAGCUUGACACUGAACAUUGAGCCUUGAUGUGUAGGAUAGGUGGGAGGCUUUGAAGUGUGGACGCCAGUCUGCAUGGAGCCGACCUUGAAAUACCACCCUUUAAUGUUUGAUGUUCUAACGUUGGCCCCUGAUCGGGGUUGCGGACAGUGUCUGGUGGGUAGUUUGACUGGGGCGGUCUCCUCCUAAAGAGUAACGGAGGAGCACGAAGGUUGGCUAAUCCUGGUCGGACAUCAGGAGGUUAGUGCAAUGGCAUAAGCCAGCUUGACUGCGAGCGUGACGGCGCGAGCAGGUGCGAAAGCAGGUCAUAGUGAUCCGGUGGUUCUGAAUGGAAGGGCCAUCGCUCAACGGAUAAAAGGUACUCCGGGGAUAACAGGCUGAUACCGCCCAAGAGUUCAUAUCGACGGCGGUGUUUGGCACCUCGAUGUCGGCUCAUCACAUCCUGGGGCUGAAGUAGGUCCCAAGGGUAUGGCUGUUCGCCAUUUAAAGUGGUACGCGAGCUGGGUUUAGAACGUCGUGAGACAGUUCGGUCCCUAUCUGCCGUGGGCGCUGGAGAACUGAGGGGGCUGCUCCUAGUACGAGAGGACCGGAGUGGACGCAUCACUGGUGUUCGGGUUGUCAUGCCAAUGGCACUGCCCGGUAGCUAAAUGCGGAAGAGAUAAGUGCUGAAAGCAUCUAAGCACGAAACUUGCCCCGAGAUGAGUUCUCCCUGAGACUUUAAGUCUCCUGAAGGAACGUUGAAGACGACGACGUUGAUAGGCCGGGUGUGUAAGCGCAGCGAUGCGUUGAGCUAACCGGUACUAAUGAACCGUGAGGCUUAACCUUACAACGCCGAAG